UACAGAGGUCUCGAGCGUUAGGCGGAAUCACUGGGCUUAAAGCGUGUGUAGGCGGAUUGCUAAGUACCUUGUGAAAUCCCACGGCUUAACCGUGGAACUGCUUGGUAUACUGGCUGUCUUGAGCCACUUAGGGGCGACCGGAACAAACGGUGGAGCGGUGAAAUGCGUAGAUAUCGUUUGGAACGCCAAAGGUGAAAACAGGUCGCUGGGAGUGUGCUGACGCUGAGACACGAAAGCCAGGGGAGCAAACAGG
rnacentral:rRNA from 1 species